rnacentral:rRNA from 1 species
GAGGCAGCAGUGGGGAAUAUUGCACAAUGGGCGCAAGCCUGAUGCAGCCAUGCCGCGUGUGUGAAGAAGGCCUUCGGGUUGUAAAGCACUUUCAGCGAGGAGGAAGGUGGUGAACUUAAUACGUUCAUCAAUUGACGUUACUCGCAGAAGAAGCACCGGCUAACUCCGUGCCAGCAGCCGCGGUAAUACGGAGGGUGCAAGCGUUAAUCGGAAUUACUGGGCGUAAAGCGCACGCAGGCGG